rnacentral:rRNA from 1 species
GGAAUCUUAGACAAUGGGGGAAACCCUGAUCUAGCCAUGCCGCGUGAGUGACGAAGGCCUUAGGGUCGUAAAGCUCUUUCGCCAGGGAGGAUAAUGACAGUACCUGGUAAAGAAACCCCGGCUAACUCCGGGACAGCAGCCGCGGUAAUCCGGAGGGGGUUAGCGUUGUUCGGAAUUACUGGGCGUAAAGCGGAGGUAGGCGGACUUUUAAGUCGGGGGUGAAAUCCCAGGGCUCAACCCUGGAACUGCCUCCGAUACUGGAAGUCUUGAGUUCGAGAGAGGUGAGUGGAAUUCCGAGUGUAGAGGUGAAAUUCGUAGAUAUUCGGAGGAACACCAGUGGCGAAGGCGGCUCACUGGCUCGAUACUGACGCUGAGGUGCGAAAGCGUGGGGAGCAAAC